rnacentral:misc_RNA from 1 species
UACGUAGGGUGCAAGCGUUAAUCGGAAUUACUGGGCGUAAAGCGUGCGCAGGCGGUGAUGUAAGACAGAGGUGAGAUCCCCGGGCUCAACCUGGGAACUGCCUUUGUGACUGCAUCGCUGGAGUACGGCAGAGGGGGAUGGAAUUCCGCGUGUAGCAGUGAAAUGCGUAGAUAUGCGGAGGAACACCGAUGGCGAAGGCAAUCCCCUGGGCCUGCACUGACGCUCAUGCACGAAAGCAUGGGGAGCAAACAGG